rnacentral:lncRNA from 1 species
CUGAUGUUCAAUUGAUUACAGGCACAUGGGGAGGCCCAGCCAGUCAAACCCAGAACAGCCCGGCUGAGCUCAGCCUAAUUCUGUGACUUUCAGGAUGAGUAACAAAAUAAAUGAUUCUUAUUUUAAGUCAAAAUUUUGGAGAGCAAUCUUCCUCUUGUCAAUGUCUAUCUCAGUGCUAUUUCAGACUCCUUUCGUACUGUCAAAUCUCACUCAACUUUUAGCAUCUAUUUCAAUUGGCAUCUCUUCCAAGAAGAUUUUUCUAAUUUCCUCAAGUGAUGUGUUAUCUCCCCUAUAAUUGAACCCCAUUUUGAUAUUUGUGUCCCUUUUUAGCUUUUUUUUUAACUUGUUUUCUAUUAGAGGUGUUAGUGUCCUACUCAUCUUGCUUUUCCUACAGCUAGUAAGUGGACAUCCAGGAGGUACAAGGAUAUAUCCCAGACCUGGCCAGUCAUGCUACCAUUUCCCAUAAUAAUCUCCUUAAGAAGUGAGCACCAGACCCAAGUCAUUCAGAUACUACCUGUAAGAUAUAGGCACUGAGGGAAAGAGUCUGGUUUUUCUUUUAGAUGAAGAGCUAUAAGAAUGGAAUCGAGACUAGGAGAGGAACAUCCAAAGGAGAGAAAAUGACUGCAGUGGGAGAGAACAAGAGCUACGAUCAAAAAGAGGAGAGACAAGCAGCACUGAGGAAGACAGAAGGGUAAGAAGAGAUGAUGUCAGAAGUGGGAUCCAAAGAAAAGCUUCCAGUGACCCCCAGGAGCACUGAGUGACCAAGCAAGGUA